rnacentral:rRNA from 1 species
AACGUAGGAGACAAACGUUAUCCGGAGUUACUGGGCGUAAAGAGCGUGUAGGCGGCCCGAUAAGUCCGCCGUGAAAGUCCAGGGCUCAACCCUGGAAUGCCGGUGGAUACUGUCGGGCUAGAGUCCGGAAGGGGCGAGUGGAAUUCCUGGUGUAGCGGUGAAAUGCGCAGAUAUCAGGAGGAACACCGGUGGCGAAGGCGGUUCUCUGGGCCUGUACUGACGCUGAGGAACGAAAGCGUGGGGAGCGAACAGG